UCAAGCCAUCCACAUCAGCUUCUCAACAUUCUCUAACAAAUUGCCACGUCAUAUUACUCUUUUUCUAAAUCUUAAUUCGUCCCUAAUACAGCCACGUCAUUAUCAUUUAUACUUCUCUCGACAUACAACUUGGCCAACGAAAUUAGGGUUUUCAACUAGAGAUGAUAACGCCCAAGAAAGUUCAACCGUUUCCGCUUCCUACCACUCAUCUUAUAAAUGACACAUCUCCCCUAAGUACAUCACCGAAGGUUUUUCCCCAACCUUUUUCAUGAACAAAGGUCCUUUCAUUUGGUUUUAAUUUUUCACAGCGCAGAGUUUAGGUACGCUCUCCAAGCAUUCUCUCAUUUCCUUCGGUCUCAAGCUACUCUCAUUUCCUAUGGCUUCAGGUAACGUAGUUACGGUCUUACAUAUUUAGUUUCAUUAUCUCCACUUCAGUUCGAAAAUCUGCAAAGCCUUCUUUGCUAGAGACAUCCGGUAACCCAUAUAUAGGAUGAUAAACAACAUCCUCACGCUGACCAAAUGAAAAGAAGAGGUAUGUGAAGAACACAUGAAUCAGAAAGGGUUAGUGAAUCCAGAAGUAAGGGAGAAACAGGAACGAGAGAAGAGACUCUCAAUGAUAUUCCACAGGUUUCUAUUGAGUUUAACAUUCAGGGUUUGUUUAAUAAGUGAGAUGUUUUUUAAGUUGAUACAUAACCAUGGUCUUUCAUGUAUUCAUUGGGGAUAAAGAAUUUUCAGUCAAACAAACCCCUUUAACUCAUUAAAUUGAGAUCUUCCUUACUCAGUUGAACUAUAUAUGUGGAUCGGUGGAUCAUGUACGAUGACAUAACCAAGGUGAAUGGUAGCUAGAGUGAUGUACUUUCUAUGUGCUAGAGAGGACACUUGCAAUCACAGGUUCUUCUCUACUAAACGUUAAAUCAAAAAGAGAAAGAAAAAAAAAACAGAGCAAGUGGAGAUCUGUUGCUGACUGUUUAGGAGAUCUCCCAAGUACACACUACAAAGGAAUUAGAGCGAAAACCAGAGAGGAAGAAAUGUGAUUUACACAUCAUGGUUCUAAGAAGUAAGAUUAAGUCACUGUCACGUUAAGGAUUUUAUGUAUAUAUAAAUCUAUCGAACCUUCUUUUUUGUCGAUCAAACUCUAUGGAUCAUAUCAUCUUAACCAUAGCAAAAUAGAAGAUAGAAGUUAAGAGAAAGAUUGCAUACAUCUAAUCCGAUGAAUUUUUCACCUUUAUCCUUUAAC